GGGUGAUAUCAGGAAUAAGGAGGAUUUAGAGAAGUUGUUUUCUCAGUCUAAGUUUGAUGUUGUCAUACACUUUGCUGGGCUCAAAGCUGUGGGUGAAAGCAUGGCUCAUCCGUUUCGUUACUUUGAUAAUAAUCUAAUUGGAUCAAUCACCCUGUACC